rnacentral:rRNA from 1 species
UACGAAGGGUGCAAGCGUUACUCGGAAUUACUGGGCGUAAAGCGUGCGUAGGUGGUGCGUUAAGUCUGAUGUGAAAUCCCCGGGCUCAACCUGGGAAUGGCAUUGGAUACUGGCUCGCUAGAGUGCGGUAGAGGGUGGUGGAAUUCCCGGUGUAGCAGUGAAAUGCGUAGAGAUCGGGAGGAACAUCGGUGGCGAAGGCGGCCACCUGGACCAACACUGACACUGAGGCACGAAAGCGUGGGGAGCAAACAGG